AUACUUUGAAUAAACGGUCUUCGCAAAGGUGGAGACACCCUCGCGGCGGACAUCGGAGACGACGGAGCGGGCCUGUGAGGAGACCUUCUUCACGUUGGAGGGAACGCGGCGGUCCAACUCCCCGACCUUGCGAUCGGCGUAUUUGAGGAGCUCGCCUGGGACAAGGUGGAACCUGUCGUACACUGGAGCCACCACGGUCUUAACGGCCUCCUCCACGGUGUUAACGCCGGGCUUCAGAGGGCCGGCGCGUUCCUUGGCGUACGAGUAGAGGAUGGCGCAACGCAUGAGAGCCUGAAGAGUUGCGAAUUGCACGAAUUCAAGGUACUUGAGUUCUUGCUCUUCUUUUAUCUCAUUCUGCAAGAUUAAAUUAAAUUCAAAACCCUAAAUAAACCACAAGGAAAAUGGAACCCUCUCAUCUUUAAGAUUCAAUCAAAUUCGAACCAUACACAAACAACACAAAAAUUAGAAUAAUACUCUCGUCAUAAAAAUUCAAUCAAAUAAAACGAUAGAUAAACAACGCAUGGAAAAAUAUAAUACUCUGUCGUUCUCAGAAUUCAAUCGAGUUCAAACCCCAAAUAAAAUAAGUAACACACUAAGAAUAAAGUUCUGUCAUAAAAUUCAAAUAGUAAAUAAACAACCCAUGGAAAAUGAAAUCAUCUCGUUCAGGAAAUUCAAUCAAAAUUCAAACCCAAGAUAAACAACAGGUGUAAAGUGGAAUAGUCUGAUCCCUGAUGUUCAAUAAAAUUGAAAGCAUUAGAUCAAUCGCACAGGAAAAAUAGAAUAAUAAUAAUAAGGAUGAAAAGAUGGAUGGAACAUACGAUUUGUUGGGGUUGGGUUUCGGCAGCCAUGAUGAAAAUCUAGAAGAUUCUUUUCGGGGUUUAGGUUUUGGUGGAAAUUGGAGAGAAAUUAGGGAAGCUGUGAAUUUAUAGAAGGCAAAAGGGCGAUGUAUGGGAAUGAACACGAAUUUAGGUUCAUAUAGCGAGACAAAACGCGUUUCUUCUAAACUGCGCUGAAUAAAAUCUUGGAUUUUGAAUGUCACUGUUUCUUACAGGUUAAGUUUCAAAACAGAGUAGAAUCUAGAAUAUUCAUUUCAAGUACAAUAAACGUCAAUAAAAAAAAAUCACAAUACAUGUAUGUUUUCUUUUUUAAGGGUGACAAAGACCAAAAAUUCUAACCCGUUUAAGCCCAUUUGUACAACCUAAAGCCCGUAUAAAAAGAAGUUACCAUACAUGAUAAUAUUAUAUAUAUUUAACUCAAUGAAUUUUAUUAUCGAAAUUAGAUGUGAUAAUAUUUUAAAAGGAAACCUAAUUGUUAUAAUAUAUCUAACAUCAUUUUUAAAAGUUAUAUCUAAAGUCAUUUUUAUAUUUUUUUUUAAUUGGCUGAUUAUAUUUAUAUUUUAUACUUCUUUUAACACAUUUUCGAAAUCGACACACUAUAUUACUCAAACUAUGUCAAUGUUUCUUGAAUAUAGGUAGGGGUUUUUGAAUUCUAUAAAAUAACAAAAUCAUGAUUAUGAAGGUGAUUAUGAUCAGAAAGAUCAAUUAGAUUUCUGAUGAAAAUAAUUACAAAGAAAUGGUAGAUAUUUGGUAACAUGUUUGAGACUUUCAACAUAUACAUAUAAUAAUAAAUUUUUAGAUAAAAAUAAUUUAUAAGAAAAAAAUUAACUAUGAUUUCAAUUCAUUAAUUGUUGCAGGAAUAAUAAUUAUUUGGUGGAGAUGGUGGAUAGAUCAAGUCAGAUUCAAAUAGUGAUGUUUGAACUCUUGUGUUUCUUAUGAGAGAGAGUUGGAUGUAAAACAAUUGUUAUAAUGUUAAAUUUAAGUUAAAGGUUAUGAAUCUGAUAUUUACAACCAAAUCC
rnacentral:lncRNA from 1 species